CUAGGAUUCGAACUUGGGUCUCGGGUACCAACCACCAAGCCCUUUGCCACUUGCUCUAGGGACGGUUGGUUACUAGAUUUUUUUUUUUUUUUUAGAGAGAGAUAGGUAGCAUGCUAUCCGCUCCAUUUAUUUCAUUUAGAAAUAAAUUUAGUUGAAAAUGUGAAUUAAUUAGGAUUCGAAUUUGAGAUUUCGGGUACCAACCACCAAACUCUUUACCACACUUGUGCUAGGGACGGUCGGUAUAAUCUUUAUUGGCUAUUAUAAAGUAAAUUUGAGGCCACUUGUAAAAAUUGUAAAAUUCAAUGUUGGUUGUCGGUUU
rnacentral:lncRNA from 1 species